UAGUGCCGGAUCUGCCCUAUGAUUUCUUUAAAUGGCUGCAGUAAUCUGACUGUACAAAGGUAGCAUAAUCAUUAGUUUUUUAAUUGAAGACCAGAAUGAAAGACAAACAACCUUGUGGAUAGUUUUAUAAUAAAAUUUCGAACUUAAAUUAAAAGUAAAAAUGCUUUUAUUUAUCUCUGGGACGACAAGACCCUAGAAACUUAAAAUUAAAUAAUUUUCAGCUGGGGUGGCCAUAAGAAGAAAUAAUAUCUUUUUUAUCCAAUUAGAUUAUACUCCUAAGUUACUCUAGGGAUAACAGCAUAAUAAAAUUUAAAAGUUCCUAUCGAUAAUUUUGCUUAUGACCUCGAUGUUGAAUUAAAUAUAAAUUAGAUGAAGAAGUUUAAUUGAAGUAGAUCGU
rnacentral:rRNA from 1 species